UACGUAGGGACCGAGCGUUGUCCGGAAUCAUUGGGCGUAAAGAGCGUGUAGGCGGCCAACUAAGUCCUGCGUGAAAUCUCGGGGCUCAACCCCGAGCGGUCGUGGGAAACUGGUUGGCUAGAGUGCGGGAGAGGAGAGUGGAAUUCCUGGUGUAGCGGUGAAAUUCGUAGAUAUUCGGAAGAACACCAGUGGCGAAGGCGACUCACUGGCCCGAUACUGACGCUGAGGCGCGAAAGCGUGGGGAGCAAACAGG
rnacentral:rRNA from 1 species